CUCUCACACACCUAACUGAUGAACACACCAACCCUCAUAUAUUUCAUAUCAGCAGAAAGUCCUUGUCCUCGCCAGCUGCAAUGUAAACCAGCCUGGGUGUCGUUAACGGUUGGUGACCAAAGCAACAUUUCUGUGUGCAUGUAACAUGAGUGUCUGCGAGUGUAUCUGUAGCUGUAUGAGGACAAGUGUUUUCUAACCAUUCAAAAUUAAAAAUGUUGCAGUUUUUAACACAUUUUGUCACCUUUUUCUUUGAAAGCUUGCCGUUUGGAGGCUUUAGAGAAACAAACAUAGUUAAUAGAUGCAAACAGUAUAUGUUUUUAUUCAUUUUAGCCUAUAAUCACAAGACC